ACGCGAGCUGGGUUUAGAACGUCGUGAGACAGUUCGGUCUCUAUCCGCCGCGCGCGUAAGAAACUUGAGGAAACCUGUCCCUAGUACGAGAGGACCGGGACGGACGAACCUCUGGUGUGCCAGUUGUCCCGCCAGGGGCACUGCUGGUUAGCUACGUUCGGAAGGGAUAACCGCUGAAAGCAUCUAAGCGGGAAGCCUGUUCCAAGAUGAGG
rnacentral:rRNA from 1 species